CUAUACUGCAGUCGAGCGAAUGGAUUAAGAGCUUGCUCUUAUGAAGUUAGCGGCGGACGGGUGAGUAACACGUGGGUAACCUGCCCAUAAGACUGGGAUAACUCCGGGAAACCGGGGCUAAUACCGGAUAACAUUUUGAACCGCAUGGUUCGAAAUUGAAAGGCGGCUUCGGCUGUCACUUAUGGAUGGACCCGCGUCGCAUUAGCUAGUUGGUGAGGUAACGGCUCACCAAGGCAACGAUGCGUAGCCGACCUGAGAGGGUGAUCGGCCACACUGGGACUGAGACACGGCCCAGACUCCUACGGGAGGCAGCAGUAGGGAAUCUUCCGCAAUGGACGAAAGUCUGACGGAGCAACGCCGCGUGAGUGAUGAAGGCUUUCGGGUCGUAAAACUCUGUUGUUAGGGAAGAACAAGUGCUAGUUGAAUAAGCUGGCACCUUGACGGUACCUAACCAGAAAGCCACGGCUAACUACGUGCCAGCAGCCGCGGUAAUACGUAGGUGGCAAGCGUUAUCCGGAAUUAUUGGGCGUAAAGCGCGCGCAGGUGGUUUCUUAAGUCUGAUGUGAAAGCCCACGGCUCAACCGUGGAGGGUCAUUGGAAACUGGGAGACUUGAGUGCAGAAGAGGAAAGUGGAAUUCCAUGUGUAGCGGUGAAAUGCGUAGAGAUAUGGAGGAACACCAGUGGCGAAGGCGACUUUCUGGUCUGUAACUGACACUGAGGCGCGAAAGCGUGGGGAGCAAACAGGAUUAGAUACUUU
rnacentral:rRNA from 1 species